rnacentral:rRNA from 1 species
GACGAACGCUGGCGGCGGGCUUAACACAUGCAAGUCGAACGGAAAGCGAUUGAAGCUUUCUUCUAUCAAUCUUAGUGGCGAACGGGUGAGUAACGCGUAAUCAACCUUCCCUUCAGAGGGGGACAACAGUUGGAAACGACUGCUAAUACCGCAUACGAUCUAAUCUCGGCAUCGAGGAGAGAUUAAGGGUUGGCUCUACAUGUAAGCCAGCAGUGGAGUUGGGUAGUGCGUGUGAUUAGGUAGUUGGAGGGGUAAGGGCCCCCCCAGGCGAUGAUCAAUAGCCGGUCUGAGAGGAUGAACGGCCAACAUGGGAACGGGACGAGGCCCAGGAUCCUAAGGGAGGGAGCAGUGGGGAAACAUUCGACAUGGACGGAAGUCCGAAGGCGCCAAGACGCGUGAGGGAUGAAGGCCUUCCGGUUGUAAAGCUCUGUUAAUCGGGAAGAAAGGCCUUCUUGCGAAUAGUGAGAAGGAUUGACGGUACCCGAAUAGAAAGCAACGGCUAACUACGUG